UCAAACUGUUCAUGAGAAGAAAAAGACAAGGGACCAAGAGAAGGCCACCAGCUAAGGGAGAGCCAAGUAAAGAGAAAGAAAAAGAGUAGCCCAUAAUUUGCUAUAAAUGCAAGAAGCCUGGCCACUUCAGAUCAGAAUGCCCUCAGUUUAAGAAAGGUCAAAAGAAGUUCAAGAAGAAGAAGACCAUGAUGGCUAUAUGGAGUGACAACGACGACUCCACCACUAAUGAAGAAACUCAGGAAGAAGCCAACCUGUGCCUUAUGGCACACAAAAAUGAGGUAUUAUAGAAGAUGGAAUGAAGGAGCUCAUCCUAAAUGAUUUGGAUCAACAAAACAAGGAUCAAAUGGAUGAAAAAUAUGAGGAUGAAAACAUCAAUGAUCAGAACAUUCAAGAGCAAUCUCAAGACACAGCUUAUACAGGGGGA